GGAGAUGUUAACUUCUGGCUGGAAGGGAAACAUGGUACUUUUCCAGUAUGUGUAAGAAAUCUCUGCAAUAUAAUUGGUUUUGCUUUUUGUUCUUGUAUUUCCGGGUUUUCUUAUUCAUAAACUUAACCAUGUAUUGUUUGAUGAAAUGCCCCAAUGGAGUGAAGUUUAUUUAAUACUGGCUCACUUUGGAAAACCUCUAUUGGUUUUGUUACUAAUCAAGCUGGAAUUGCAUUUGGGGCUUUGGGCUAUGGAAAUGCUAAAGGGUAGUCUUAGACUCUUAGUUAUAGGUUUGGUGAGGUGAUUUUAGGGUCUAAAGUUGUUUCUUGUGGAAAAAACAGUUACAGCAUUGUUGAGUCAACUUCAUCAUGUGCUUUUUAUCAAUUAGCAUGCAAACAUACUUACAAAGCAGGACCAUCAGCUUUCAUUAAAUAAAAAUCUGAUUCAUAAUCAAGUACAUGAUCAAACUAAGGUGUGACAUCCCCCAACCAAGUUCUUGAUCCUACUCAUUUGCUAAACAUACCAAAUUGUGAGAAUCACAUUUAAUUGUCUCGUAAUGUGGAUAACUGGAGCCAUUUCUAACUCAAAGUCUUCAAUUAUUUAUGAAGCACUGGCACUUCAGAUUGAAGGUAUGUUCGGUGUCCAAAACAUGUCAGUCAUUCCAUUUUCUCAAAUUAUUAUCGGUGUUUACUUGUUAGUGUCGUGAUUCAAGUCUGUGUCGGUGUUUCAUAGUGAAUUAUUUGAUCAAUGGUAGCUAGGGAAGAUUUACCAUUUAUACAGUUUAUAACCAUUGUUGCAUUAAAAGCAAUAAUGACAUAUGUUGAGUUAUUGCUCUUCUAUGCAAUUUGUAGACUCCACCUCGCUUUCAAUGCUUCGGUAAGGAUAUGUUUCUUUCCUUCAAGCUGCAAUAACAAGACACCUUUACAAAGCUGCAAUCACCAUUCUAAUUAUGGAUAUUGUCUCAUAUGUUGGAGCGUGAUCGAGUUGACCUCUGCUUUCAGCUUUCCUACAGUUUUUUAAUACAAAUCAUGUUGCAACAGAACUCUAACACGACACUACUUUGAACUAUAUAUUAAAGAAAUCUUGCCUUUUUUUGUGUUGAGUUUCUUAAAAUUGAUUACAGCUUCUAUAGAGUACAGCUCUUAGUUCCUUGUUUAUUCGGAGAAUCGUUUUAAAGCACAUUAUGGGUUUAUGGUGAUCCCAUUGUAUAGCUUCUUAUGGAACCUUUGUUACUUUAAUUUCGAAACUUUUCUCACUAGCAUAUACUUUACUCAAUCCAGAAUUAUUAAAUAUAUAGCCCGUGGAGUGAUGGCACACUAAAAUAUUUGUAGUGAUGAAUCAAUAUAACCAAAGAAAUUUUAACUCAUCAUCAGAAUGAAUGGCUUAAUAUGAAAAUUGCUAAGUAAAACUAAAAACUAACUUCUUUUGUCACCAUUGCAGAUUUGCAGUACACAAGAAUGAAUGGAUGCUGUUUCGUCUUAUUGAACUGCAGAUCAAUGCAGAAAAGAAAGAAAAAAAACACAUUGGAGAAAAAUACUUGGAUGUUGUUUCAUCAUAUUCAAAGCCUUCAUCAGCUACACCCUCUGAAGCACCAAGGUUAAUCUUUCAUUUCAAUUAUCUAAUUUGCUUUCUCAUCAAGUGCCUUAGAUUUCUUCAAUGAUUUCAGCUCAUCAAUCAACAGAACCAAGGUGUUGUAAGAAUGUCCACCCUCCUCUAUAGUCCUUUUGGCAGCACCACCAAGCUGUUUUGCUCUCAUCCUCAUAUCCUUGCUCUCUUGGCCACUUCCCAUCAAAAUCUUCACAGCCUUAACUAUCUCUUCCCUUUUCACCACUGCCUCUACACUAACACUAUUCCAUAACUUAUUUUCUUUUGCUCCUACUGGGACCCCUAUCUUCAAAACAUCAACCAGUAACUUCUCAUUGUAAAAUUGGUCAGCAAACAUUGGCCAUGAGAUCAUUGGCAAACCAGCAUUCAAGCUUUCAAGAAUCGAGUUCCAACCACAGUGAGUCACAAUUCCUCCAGUUGCAGGGUGAUCCAAUAUCAGAAGCUGUGGUGCCCAAUUCCAUAUAAUAUAGCCCUUUUUGCUUUCUUUCAUCCUUUGUUCAAAAUCUUGCAGGAAACUGUUUUCACCGUCAUCUCUACCAUUUUUCCUUACAACCCAGAUAAAAUUAUGACCUGAAUCUUCAAGCCCGUGAGCAAUUUCUACAAGCUGAGCAUGAGCUAGCCUAGUAAGACUUCCAAAACUUACAUACAAAACUGACUCAUUUUCCUUUGAGUUAAGCCAAUUUAGCCAUGCUGCCUCUUUUCCAAGUUCCUCCGUAUGUCCUCUAUUGGCCUUCUUUUCAUCAUCCUUGUUAACCCAUGAUGAAACUGGUCCUACACUCCAAGAUUUGAUCCCCAAUGUACUUCUAUUAACUUUCUCAUAAUCACUUUCUAGCUCAUGAAAACUAUUGUAUAGUGUUCCAUAGCUUCUUUUCUCUGAUUGAAACAUUGGUUCAAAAUAGGGUGUAGCUGCAUUCUUCUCCCUUAACCAAUCAGGAAUCUGC
rnacentral:lncRNA from 1 species